rnacentral:lncRNA from 1 species
UCAAAGGAGGCAAGGAAGGUGGCGUGAUGCAGACACGAAAACAUAUUCUUGGAAGAAAAUUAACGUGCCGGCUGAAUUAGUCGCUCUGUUGGUAUUCACUGAGCCAGAGAAAGAAAAAAACAAGGAAGCCAACAAUACAAACAAGGAAGCCAGCCAUAAGAAAGGCAAAGGUGACUUUACGAACCGGUCCUCCCCAUGCGUGUGUUAGUUCUGGAUUAUUAAAUCAAUAUAGAUUUUACACUGGCCCCCUGAAACGCCAACAAUGUGACAUUGAGAAGUCAUGCUUCAUGCUACCGACUGUGGAAGGAAGGAUACAACAUAACUCCAAGUCUGGCACCUUGGCAUCGUUGGAAAGUCAACAUCUGUCAUCCUUUGACGUUUGCUACCCAUCCAACAGAAUUUCUGCAACAAAACCAUUAACAAAGAAAUAUCACUGUUGGCCACAGCCAGCACUCCCGCGACCCGGACCGCGCGCCCACUCGCC